ACGUAGGAGGCAAGCGUUAUCCGGAGUUACUGGGCGUAAAGGGCGUGCAGGCGGUUGGCUAAGUUCGUUGUGAAAGCGCCCAGGCUUAACCGGGCGAGGACAAUGAAGACUGGUCAGCUAGAGGACGGUAGAGGGGUGUGGAAUUCCGGGUGUAGUGGUGAAAUGCGUAGAUAUUAGGAAGAACACCAGUGGCGAAGGCGGCUUUCUGGACGAAAACUGACGCUGAGGCGCGAAAGCCAGGGGAGCGAACGG
rnacentral:rRNA from 1 species